GACGAACGCUGGCGGCGUGCUUAACACAUGCAAGUCGAACGGAAAGGCCCUGCUUUUGUGGGGUGCUCGAGUGGCGAACGGGUGAGUAACACGUGAGUAACCUGCCCUUGACUUUGGGAUAACUUCAGGAAACUGGGGCUAAUACCGGAUAGGAGCUCCUGCUGCAUGGUGGGGGUUGGAAAGUUUCGGCGGUUGGGGAUGGACUCGCGGCUUAUCAGCUUGUUGGUGGGGUAGUGGCUUACCAAGGCUUUGACGGGUAGCCGGCCUGAGAGGGUGACCGGCCAAAUUGGGACUGAGAUACGGCACAGACUACUACGGGAGGCAGCAGUGGGGAAGAUUGAACAAUGGGCGGAAGCCUGAUGCAGCAACGCCGCGUGCGGGAUGACGGCCUUCGGGUUGUAAACCGCUUUCGCCUGUGACGAAGCGUGAGUGACGGUAAUGGGUAAAGAAGCACCGGCUAACUACGUG
rnacentral:rRNA from 1 species